rnacentral:rRNA from 1 species
UACGAAGGGGGCUAGCGUUGUUCGGAAUCACUGGGCGUAAAGCGCACGUAGGCGGAUCUUUAAGUCAGGGGUGAAAUCCCGAGGCUCAACCUCGGAACUGCCUUUGAUACUGGAGAUCUUGAGUCCGGAAGAGGUAAGUGGAACUGCGAGUGUAGAGGUGAAAUUCGUAGAUAUUCGCAAGAACACCAGUGGCGAAGGCGGCUUACUGGUCCGGAACUGACGCUGAGGUGCGAAAGCGUGGGGAGCAAACAGG